rnacentral:rRNA from 1 species
UACAGAGGUCUCAAGCGUUGUUCGGAUUCAUUGGGCGUAAAGGGUGCGUAGGUGGCGCCGUAAGUCAGGUGUGAAAUCUCGGAGCUUAACUCCGAAACUGCAUUCGAUACUGCCGUGCUUGAGGACUGGAGAGGAGACUGGAAUUUACGGUGUAGCAGUGAAAUGCGUAGAUAUCGUAAGGAAGACCAGUGGCGAAGGCGAGUCUCUGGACAGUUACUGACACUGAGGCACGAAGGCCAGGGGAGCAAACGGG